rnacentral:rRNA from 1 species
UGCCAGCCGCAGCGGUAAUACGGAGGGGGCGAACGUUAUUCGGAUUUACUGGGUGUAAAGGGAUCGUAGGCGGAUUGUUAAGUUAGAUGUGAAAGCCCUGGGCUCAACCCAGGAACUGCAUUUAAAACUGGCAAUCUAGAGUGUUGGAGAGGAUGACGGAAUUACAAGUGUAGAGGUGAAAUUCGUAGAUAUUUGUAGGAACAUCAGUGGCGAAGGCGGUUGUCUGGCCAAACACUGACGCUGAGGGUCGAAAGCGUGGGGAGCAAACAGGAUUAGAUA